GAUGAACGCUGGCGGCGUGCCUAAUACAUGCAAGUCGAACGGAAAAUUCUUGGUACUUGUAUCAGGAGUUUUUAGUGGCGAACGGGUGAGUAACGCGUUGGUGACCUACCCCAAAGUGGGGGAUAACAGAUCGAAAGGUCUGCUAAUACCUCAUGUUGUCAUCGUUUUUAGAAAUCGAUGAUUAAAGGAGCAAUUCGCUUUGGGAGGGGCCUGCGUCCCAUCAGCUAGUUGGUAAGGUAAUGGCUUACCAAGGCUAUGACGGGUAAGGGACCUGAGAGGGUGACCCCUCACAAUGGAACUGAAACACGGUCCAUACACCUACGGGUGGCAGCAGUAGGGAAUAUUGCACAAUGGACGAAAGUCUGAUGCAGCAACGCCGCGUGUACGAUGAAGGCCUUCGGGUCGUAAAGUACUUUUCAGGGAGAUGAGAAAGGACAGUACCCCUGGAAUAAGUCUCGGCUAACUACGUGCCAGCAGCCGCGGUAAAACGUAGGAGGCGAGCGUUAUCCGGAU
rnacentral:rRNA from 1 species